rnacentral:misc_RNA from 1 species
GUCUUUUGCGCACUUGUUGUUUCCUGGGCGGGUUUCGCCCGCCACCAGGACCAAACCAUAAACCUUUUUCUUAUGCAGUUUCCAUCAGCGUCAGUAAAAACAAUGUAAUAAUUACAACUUUCAACAACGGGAUCUCUUGGGUCUGGCAUCGAUGAAGAACGCAGCGAAAUGCGAUACGUAGUGUGAAUUGCAGAAUUCAGUGAAUCAUCGAAUCUUUGAACGCACAGUUGCGCCCUUUGGUAUUCCAAAGGGCAUGCCUGUUCGAGCGUCAUUUGUACCUUCAAGCUUUGCUUGGUGUUGGGCGUUUUUGUCUCCCUCUUUGCUGGGAGACUCGCCUUAAAACGAGUUGGCAGCCGGCCUACUGGUUUCGGAGCGCAGCACAUUUUUUGCGCUUUGUAUCAGGAGAAAAGGACGGUACUCCAUCAAGACUUUUACAAUUUUAACUUUUGACCUCGGAUCAGGUAGGGAUACCGCUGAACUAAGCAUAUCAUAAGCGGAGA